rnacentral:tRNA from 1 species
GGGUCUGUAGCUCAGUGGUUAGAGCAGGGGACUCAUAAUCCCUUGGUCGUGGGUUCAAAUCCCCCCAGACCCACCA